rnacentral:rRNA from 1 species
AUGAACGCUGGCGGCGUGCCUAAUACAUGCAAGUCGAACGAACUUCCGUUAAUUGAUUAUGACGUACUUGUACUGAUUGAGAUUUUAACACGAAGUGAGUGGCGAACGGGUGAGUAACACGUGGGUAACCUGCCCAGAAGUAGGGGAUAACACCUGGAAACAGAUGCUAAUACCGUAUAACAGAGAAAACCGCAUGGUUUCUUUUAAAAGAUGGCUCUGCUAUCACUUCUGGAUGGACCCGCGGCGUAUUAGCUAGUUGGUGAGGUAAAGGCUCACCAAGGCAGUGAUACGUAGCCGACCUGAGAGGGUAAUCGGCAACAUUGGGACUGAGACACGGCCCAGACUCCUACGGGAGGCAGCAGUAGGGAAUCUUCCACAAUGGACGCAAGUCUGAUGGAGCAACGCCGCGUGAGUGAAGAAGGGUUUCGGCUCGUAAAGCUCUGUUGUUAAAGAAGAACGUGGGUAAGAGUAACUGUUUACCCAGUGACGGUAUUUAACCAGAAAGCCACGGCUAACUACGUG